GCACACAGCGGAGUUUCGUUUCCCUAAUGAAAGUUUUAAUUUGGGAUCUGUUCUUUAACACGAGAAAGGAGAAGCGCAAGUACAGUAGUACGAGACGGGGAUACCAAGAAAGAAUACGCAGUUUUAUUCGUGCACAUGACAAUACAAUAGCUCUGAAGGGCGACAGAACGACGCCGAUCCUGACAUAAUAAUGAUGGCGGAGGCCGACGCGGAAGAGAACGUGUACCGCGAGGCUGUGGCGGAGUCGCCUGUUGCGCCACCGAAUGGCGAUAUUAACAUUGACGAACUGUUACCCGACGGUCCUCAUGGGAAUAUUCAAGGACAGAUGGAGGAGUUCCUGGGCCCCCAGCCUGAGUACGAUGAGGAAGAGGAGGAGAAGAAGUUACAGGAGGAAGAAGCUGGGCGU